rnacentral:rRNA from 1 species
UCUACGGAAGGCAGCAGGCGCGCAAAUUGCCCAAUCCUGACACGGGGAGGCAGUGACAAGAAAUAACAACUCUAGGUUUUCUUAGAAGUGUAAUGAGGAUAAUUUACAAACCUUACCGAAUGCAAUUGGAGGGCAAGUCUGGUGCCAGCAGCCGCGGUAAUUCCAGCUCCAAUAGCGUAUAUUAAAGUUGUUGCAGUUAAAAAGCUCGUAGUUGAAGUUCUGAUUGUUCAGGUCUUCAGUCAUUAGACGGGGAUUCUGACAGUCAUCCGCUUGCAAACAUAUGUUCGAUUUUAACCGAUCGGCUAUGUGAGUAAGCAUUUUACCUUGAGAAAAACAGAGUGUUCCAGGCAGGUUUGUCCGGAAUGCAUUAGCAUGGAAUAAUAGAACAUGACUGGAGUCUAUUUAUUGGUUUAAGGCUUUAGUAAUGAUUAAUAGGAACAGUCGGGGGCAUUCGUACUCAGCAGUCAGAGGUGAAAUUCUAAGAUUUGCUGAAGACGAACUAAUGCGAAAGCAUUUGCCAAGGAUGUUUUCAUUAAUCAAGAACGAAAGUUAGGGGAUCAAAGACGAUCAGAUACCGUCCUAGUCUUAACUAUAAACGAUACCGACUCGGAUUCAGAUGAAUCAUAAAGUUCAUUUGGGACCGUAGGAGAAAUCAAAGUCUUUGGGUUCUGGGGGGAGUAUGGUCGCAAGGCUGAAACUUAAAGGAAUUGACGGUWUUGCACCACCAUGGAGUGGAGUUUGCGGCUUAAUUUGACUCAACACUGGGAAACUCAUCAGGGCAAGAAGAUUUUAGGAUUGACAGAUUGAGAGUUCUUUCUUGAUUGGUCUAGUGGUGGUGCAUGGCCGUUCUUAGUUGGUGGAGUGAUUUGUCUGGUUAAUUCCGUUAACGAACGAGACCUUAACCUGCUAACUAGUGUUUCGAUUCAUAAUCGAAAGCACUUCUUAGAGGGACUAUGUGAUGUAAUCACAUGGAAGUUUGAGGCAAUAACAGGUCUGUGAUGCCCUUAGAUGUCCUGAGCUGCACGCGUACUACAAUGGCACUUUCAACGAGUUUUUCCUGAUCCGAAAGGAUUUGGGUAAUCUUUUUAGUGAGUGCCGUGCUUGGGAUUGUUCUUUGUAAUUGUGGAACAUGAACUAGGAAUUCCUAGUAAGCGCGRGUCAUCAGCUCGUGCUGAUUACGUCCCUGCAAAAUGUACACACCGCCCGUCGCUUUUACCGAUUGAGUGUUCAGGUGAGUCUUCUUGAUAAUGUCAAAGUUAGAAAUUAAACAAACCUUAGCACUUAGAGGAAAAAGGAA